CAGAUGGAACUCCUCCGUGUGGAUGCGGCCGUCUGGUACACGAGUCCAUUGCUGCGGGCACGGGAAUCCGCCGAGAUCGCCGCGCGAGGCGCGCCCAUCGUUGUCCUGCGUGAACUCGCGGAGAUCUCACUCGGCGACUGGGACGGGAAGACGUGGAGCGAGAUCGAGGCGGCGGAUCCGUGCCUCGCCGCACGCAAACUCGCCGACUGGAGCGGAGUGACGCCUCCUGGCGGCGAGAGCUUUACCGAUUUCGCUCGAAGGGUGGAACGCGGCCUC
rnacentral:misc_RNA from 1 species